CCAAAAUACAACACAAAUGAACUUAUUUAAGAAAAAAUAACAGUUUCACAGUCAUAGAAAACAAACUGAAGGUGAGCAAAGGGAAAUGGGGUUGGGGAGGGGUAAAUUAGGAGUGCGAGAUCAGAAGAUACAAACUACUAUAUAUAAAAUAAUCAACAAGGCCCUACUGUACAGAAGAGGGGACUAUAUUCAAUAUCCUGUAAUAAACCAUAAUGGAAAAUAAUAGGAAAAAGAAAUAUAUAUAUAUAAAAAACUGACUCACUUUGCUAUAUAUAUAUAUACCAGAAAUUAGCACAGCAUUGCAAACUAACUAUACUUCAAUUAAAAUUUGCUAGAUAUAAAAAUAGGAACGAUUGUCAAUGAGGGUUCCAACCCAUCAGCUCUUCACUUAGUAACAUUUUACUUCUAGCACAACUAGUUUAAUUUGUAAUUUCAAAUUCUUUCUGCUUUCUGUCCUCUGCUUACUCUGAAAACACAGAUAUUUAACCAACCCAUGAGAGAAAGAGAGGGUAUAGCAGUAAAACGUUCUCAAAAUACACACACACACACACACACACACACACACACACCCCAACUGUAAAGUCCAGGAGAGAAGGCAACUUCAAAAUAAAUACCUGUGUCUUUUGUUACAAGUCUAAUCUUCAACUGUCCGUGGUAAACUCAGGGUUAGAAUACCUAGGUUUAUACCCAGCUUUAAACAAAAUCACUCUGAUAAAACCACUAAAGAUCAAAUUUCCAUAAGAAUAAGCUCAAUUUAAAAUGUUCAUAGAGAAGAGGUCAUUAGUUCCCCUGUUACAGAAGGUCCUAAAGAGUUAAAUCACAGAAUAUGAAAACCUGUGCUUAAAAGGUUUUUAGGCAAUGACACCAGCUGAGGAGGGAAAUAAAAUUAGUAAGUGGCGGGAAUGAGGAGCUGUCAACACCAGUCCCUAACUCAGGCUCCUUGGCUUGAUCCUGUAUUUCAUUUAACACAGACUUCUACAUGCGGAUGAUUGGCCUCUUCCUGUGAGGUCUGGUACUUGAAAAUCUGGGCUGUGAGCGUAUCUGAGAGGCAUGAUGAGGUGGGAUGAGCUGACGGCCGGGCUGGGGGUGGGAUUUACAAGUGUCAGCUGUGCCUCCAAGUCAAUUCAUGGCACGUUGCUUGUCAGGGUCCAAAGUGUGCUCCUCUGGGCAGUGACCUUUCGGAUGCAGCAAAGCUGAUCUUCCGACCAAACGUGACUGCUGACAAGGGUGCUUUUUAUUUGCAUUUGCUUUUAUUUGAUUCUAACUUUGGUAGUCGAAUAGUGAACCAAACCCAGUGAAGGAAAACUUUUAAAUACUUGAUUCCAGCUUCCACUUGAUGUUGUUUUCUUCUAGGCUGUUCUGAAAUGUGAGUCAGGAUAUAAAUGGACUGUAUCAUCUUGUGUGGGGCUGCCUCAGGCCAAAUAAUUCCCAGGAAGCAGGAAUAUUUCAGAGUUGAAUUCUGAAACUCACACUGCAUUUGGUUGUCAUGCCUGGGUUGGCCUGAUCCAUUUAAAAGAUUAUUCCCGCCUAGCAUAUGUGCCCACCCUGC
ensembl:lncRNA